rnacentral:rRNA from 1 species
ACGGGAGGCAGCAGUGGGGGAUAUUGCACAAUGGGGGAAACCCUGAUGCAGCGACGCCGCGUGGAGGAAGAAGGUUUUCGGAUUGUAAACUCCUGUCGUUAGGGACGAUAAUGACGGUACCUAACAAGAAAGCACCGGCUAACUACGUGCCAGCAGCCGCGGUAAAACGUAGGGUGCAAGCGUUGUCCGGAAUUACUGGGUGUAAAGGGAGCGCAGGCGGACCGGCAAGUUGGAAGUGAAAACUAUGGGCUCAACCCAUAAAUUGCUUUCAAAACUGCUGGCCUUGAGUAGUGCAGAGGUAGGUGGAAUUCCCGGUGUAGCGGUGGAAUGCGUAGAUAUCGGGAGGAACACCAGUGGCGAAGGCGACCCACUGGGCCCCAACUGACGCUGAGGCUCGAAAGCAUGGGUAGCAAACAGGAUUAGAUACCCUGGUAGUCCAUGCCGUAAACGAUGAUUCACUCGGUGUUGGCGGCAUUGCACCCUUCCGAUGUCC